rnacentral:rRNA from 1 species
ACGAACGCUGGCGGCGUGCUUAACACAUGCAAGUCGAACGGAAAGGCCCUGCUUUUGUGGGGUGCUCGAGUGGCGAACGGGUGAGUAACACGUGAGUAACCUGCCCUUGACUUUGGGAUAACUUCAGGAAACUGGGGCUAAUACCGGAUAGGAGCUCCUGCUGCAUGGUGGGGGUUGGAAAGUUUCGGCGGUUGGGGAUGGACUCGCGGCUUAUCACCUUGUUGGUGGGGUAGUGGCUUACCAAGGCUUUGACGGGUAGCCGGCCUGAGAGGGUGACCGGCCACAUUGGGACUGAGAUACGGCCCAGACUCCUACGGGAGGCAGCAGUGGGGAAUAUUGCACAAUGGGCGGAAGCCUGAUGCAGCAACGCCGCGUGCGGGAUGACGGCCUUCGGGUUGUAAACCGCUUUCGCCUGUGACGAAGCGUGAGUGACGGUAAUGGGUAAAGAAGCACCGGCUAACUACGUG